GAUGAACGCUAGCGGGAGGCUUAACACAUGCAAGUCGAGGGGCAGCACGGGUCCGCCGUAAGGCGGAUCUGGUGGCGACCGGCGCACGGGUGAGUAACGCGUAUGUAACCUGUCCUUUACAGGAGGAUAACCCGGAGAAAUUCGGACUAAUACUGCAUAAUAUUAUUUUAAGGCAUCUUAGAAUAAUUAAAACUACGGUGGUAAAGGAGGGGCAUGCGUAACAUUAGCUAGUUGGGAGGUAACGGCCUACCAAGGCAAUGAUGUUUAGGGGACCUGAGAGGGUGACCCCCCACACUGGUACUGAGACACGGACCAGACUCCUACGGGUGGCAG
rnacentral:rRNA from 1 species